rnacentral:rRNA from 1 species
GCCAGCUUGCUGGGUGGAUUAGUGGCGAACGGGUGAGUAACACGUGAGCAACCUGCCCCUGACUCUGGGAUAAGCGCUGGAAACGGCGUCUAAUACUGGAUAUGUCCCGUCACCGCAUGGUGUGCGGGUGGAAAGAUUUUUCGGUUGGGGAUGGGCUCGCGGCCUAUCAGCUUGUUGGUGAGGUAAUGGCUCACCAAGGCGUCGACGGGUAGCCGGCCUGAGAGGGUGACCGGCCACACUGGGACUGAGACACGGCCCAGACUCCUACGGGAGGCAGCAGUGGGGAAUAUUGCACAAUGGGCGGAAGCCUGAUGCAGCAACGCCGCGUGAGGGAUGACGGCCUUCGGGUUGUAAACCUCUUUUAGCAGGGAAGAAGCGAAAGUGACGGUACCUGCAGAAAAAGCACCGGCUAACUACGUGCCAGCAGCCGCGGUAAUACGUAGGGUGCAAGCGUUAUCCGGAAUUAUUGGGCGUAAAGAGCUCGUAGGCGGUCUGUCGCGUCUGCUGUGAAAUCCCGAGGCUCAACCUCGGGCUUGCAGUGGGUACGGGCAGACUAGAGUGCGGUAGGGGAGAUUGGAAUUCCUGGUGUAGCGGUGGAAUGCGCAGAUAUCAGGAGGAACACCGAUGGCGAAGGCAGAUCUCUGGGCCGUAACUGACGCUGAGGAGCGAAAGGGUGGGGAGCAAACAGGCUUAGAUACCCUGGUAGUCCACCCCGUAAACGUUGGGAACUAGUUGUGGGGUCCUUUCCACGGAUUCCGUGACGCAGCUAACGCAUUAAGUUCCCCGCCUGGGGGAGUACGGCCGCAAGGCUAAAACUCAAAGGAAUUGACGGGGACCCGCACAAGCGGCGGAGCAUGCGGAUUAAUUCGAUGCAACGCGAAGAACCUUACCAAGGCUUGACAUACACGAGAACGGGCCAGAAAUGGUCAACUCUUUGGACACUCGUGAACAGGUGGGUGCAUGGGUUGUCGUCAGCCUCGUGUCCUGAAAAUGUUUGGGUUAAGUCCCGCAACGAGCGCAACCCUCGUUCUAUGUUGCCAGC